rnacentral:rRNA from 1 species
UAGUUCGUGGAGUGAUCUGUCUGCUUAAUUGCGUUUCAAAAUUUAACUUGAGGACCGGGUUUUGGUUUGGCUAGUGGUUCUACGAUGACUGUGAACUGUCAUGUCUUCGGAUGUGCGACUAUUGGUCUAGGAUCACAUGACUUGCCCCUGGGACUCUUUUGAACGCAACGGACGUGAUUGCAACCCCUUGUUGAGAUUAGAGAUAGUCUCGAUAUUCACUGGACAAACUGGCUGCUUUAUGCAGUCUUGUUGAAUGGUGGAUAAACUCGGGGGACUGCUGACUAUAACCAUUUCUCAAAACAGAGGAAGGUUGCGGCAAUAACAGGUCUGUGAUGCCCUCAGAUGUCCCGGGCUGCACACGUGCUACAAUGAGUGGCGCAAUGUGCUAAUGUUUAAGGGAUAAGAGUGUGGUCAGUAGAACGUCGGGAUUUCCCCUGACGUCUCCCCCGCACGAUUAUCAGCCUUCCCUUAACAGGGCGGGCAACCUUUUCAAAAUACUGGUUUGAUGUUAAAGUAUUGAGUCGUUUUUUUUGGAUGGUGGUUUGUUAACCAAUACCAUCCGGCAACUGCUCGCGAGUUUGUGGUUCUGGCGACUC